GGGGCUGCCGGGCACUCCGCAGCCUCCGGAGGACUGGGCGCGGCCAGCCUUCUGAGUCAGUAACUAGUUCUGGGUGAGCCCCCACCACCAGAGCAGCUGGCAGCACCAGGGAUAACUAGUGCUUCAGAAAACACAUUCUUGCCAUGGCAACGAGCGGACUAGCCACCGUGCACUCACUUGGAGCGGGAUCGCCGCCUGUUGUCAUGCCUGCGCCGGGAAGGGCUGGGGGAGCCGGAGGAGCUGCUAGAGCUGGAGCUCCGGGAUGUGCUGGAGCUCCCAGAGCGGCUGGACGCAGAGGAGGAGCUAGAGCCACUGCUUGAACCUGUGCUGGUGCUGGAGCCCGAGCUGGAAGUUGAGCUGGAUCGAGACCUGAGGAAAAGGUGGGGUAUCAGAGUCAAUGAGCAAGAGUCACGUUUUUGCACACAAGACUGCCCAGCAGGAAAUGGACCUCCUAGUUCUUUCUUUAAGUCAUCAGCAAUGACACCUGACAGGUCCCGAAAGCAAAGACAGGCUGUUGUCACCUGUACAGAACCCUAAAUUUUACCAAUGGAGAAAAGGCAGGAGUCUAGCCAAGGUCAGAUCACCACCACAGCUUGCAACAGGGCUGUAGAUACUCAGGCAGGCUUUCAACUACCAAAAACUGAGCU